UGAAUACGAGAUGCUACGGCGUCGAAGCAGUCUAUGUCAUACUUCCAAGAAAAGCUUGCACUGUCAUAAACAAAUAAUGCCUGUACCAUAACCGACACAGGUGGGUAGGUAGAGUAUACUAAGGGGCGCGAGAUAACUCUCUCUAAGGAACUCGGCAAAAUGACUCCGUAACUUCGGGAGAAGGAGUGCCUUAUUUAUAAGGUUGCAAUAACAAGAUCCAAGCAACUGUUUACCGAAAACACAGGUCUCCGCUAAGUCGUAAGACGAUGUAUGGGGGCUGACGCCUGCCCAGUGCCAGAAGGUUAAAGAAGUUGGUUAGCAUCCGCGAAGCUGAUAACUGAAGCCCUGGUGAACGGCGGCCGUAACAAUAACGGUCCUAAGGUAGCGAAAUUCCUUGUCGGGUAAGUUCCGACCCGCACGAAAGGCGUAAUGAUUUGGAUACUGUCUCGGAGAGGGGCUCGGCGAAAUAGACUUGUCUGUGAAGAUGCGGACUACCUGCACCAGGACAGAAAGACCCUAUGAAGCUUUACUGUAACCUGAAAUUGAAAUUGGACUUUACUUGCGCAGUAUAGGUGGGAGGCGUUGAGAAUAUUCUUGCGGGAUUAUUGGAGCCAUCAGUGAGAUACCACUCUUGUAAUGUUAGAUUUCUAACUUUGUAUCAUUAUCUGGUCAAAGAACAGUUUCAGGCGGGCAGUUUGACUGGGGCGGUCGCCUCCUAAACGGUAACGGAGGCGCACAAAGGUUUCCUCUGAACGGGUAGAAAUCGUAUCUAGAGUGUAAAGGCAUAAGGAAGCUUGACUGUGAGACCUACAAGUCGAGCAGGGACGAAAGUCGGUCUUAGUGAUCUGACGGUGCUGAGUGGAAAGGCCGUCACUCAACGGAUAAAAGUUACUCUAAGGAUAACAGGCUGAUCUCCCCCAAGAGUUCACAUCGACGGGGAGGUUUGGCACCUCGAUGUCGGCUCAUCGCAUCCUGGGGCGGUAGUACGUCCCAAGGGUUGGGCUGUUCGCCCAUGAAAGCGGUACGCGAGCUGGGUUCAGAACGUCGUGAGACAGUUCGGUCCAUAUCCGGUGUAGGCGUUAGAAUAUUGAGAGGAGCCUUCUUUAGUACGAGAGGACCGAGAAGGACAUACCUCUGGUGUACCAGUUAUCGUGCCAACGGUAAACGCUGGGUAGCUAUGUGUGGAGUGGAUAACCGCUGAAAGCAUCUAAGUGGGAAGCCCACCUCAAGAUAAG
rnacentral:rRNA from 1 species